rnacentral:rRNA from 1 species
UUGUUGCGGUUAGAAGCUCGUAGUUGGAUUUCUGUCGAAAACGGCCGGUCCGCACUAUGUGCGUGUAUCUGGUUCGGUUUUGGCAUCCUCUUGAAGAACGUGUCUGCGCUUGAUUGCGUGGCGCGGUAUUCAAGACUUUUACUUUGAGGAAAUUAGAGUGUUCACGGCAGGCAAGCGCCUUGAAUAUAUUAGCAUGGAAUAAUAAUAUAGGAUUUUGGUUCUAUUUUGUUGGUUUCUAGGACUAGAAUAAUGAUUAAUAGGGAUAAUUGGGGGCAUUUGUAUUAACGCGUCAGAGGUGGAAUUCUUGGAUUGCGUUACGACAAACUACUGCGAAAGCAUUCGCCAAGGAUGUUUUCAUUGAUCAAGAACGAAAGUAUGGGGAUCGAAGAUGAUUAGAUACCGUCGUAGUCUAUACCAUAAACUAUGCCAACUAGAGAUUGGAGGUCGUUCUUUUUAUGACUCCUUCAGCACCUUAUGAGAAAUCAAAGUCUUUGGGUUCCGGGGGGAGUAUGGUCGCAAGGCUGAAACUUAAAGGAAUUGACGGAAGGGCACCGCCAGGAGUGGAGCCUGCGGCUUAAUUUGACUCAACACGGGGAA